AACCAACCGGGAUUGCCUUAGUAACGGCGAGUGAAGCGGCAACAGCUCAAAUUUGAAAUCCGGCGCCCUCGGCGCCCGAGUUGUAAUUUGCAGAGGGCAGCUCGAGCCCGCCCCCGUCUAAGUCCCCUGGAACGGGGCGUCGUAGAGGGUGAGAAUCCCGUGUGCGACGGGGCGGCGUGCUCGUGUGAGCUCCCUUCGACGAGUCGAGUUGUUUGGGAAUGCAGCUCUAAAUGGGAGGUAAAUUCCUUCUAAAGCUAAAUACCGGCCAGAGACCGAUAGCGCACAAGUAGAGUGAUCGAAAGAUGAAAAGCACUUUGGAAAGAGAGUUAAACAGCACGUGAAAUUGUUGAAAGGGAAGCGCUCACGACCAGACUCGAGCGCGGCUGCUCAGCCGGUCCUUCGACCGGUGCAUCAGCCGCGCCCGGGCCAGCAUCGGUUCGGGCGGUCGGACAAAGGCCCCGGGAACGUGGCUCCUCUCGGGGAGUGUUAUAGCCCGGGGCGCAAUGCGGCCCGCCCGGACCGAGGACCGCGUUCGCUAGGAUGCUGGCGUAAUGGUCGUCAGCGGCCCGUCUUGAAACACGGACCAAGGAGUCUACCAUCUGUGCGAGUAUUAGGGUGUCAAACCCCUGUGCGUAAUGAAAGUGAACGGAGGUGGGAACCCUCGGGUGCACCAUCGACCGAUCCAGAUGUCCUCGGACGGAUUUGAGUAAGAGCACCGCUGGUGGGACCCGAAAGAUGGUGAACUAUGCGCGGAUAGGGUGAAGCCAGAGGAAACUCUGGUGGAGGCUCGCAGCGGUUCUGACGUGCAAAUCGAUCGUCAAAUCUACGCAUAGGGGCGAAAGACUAAUCGAACCAUCUAGUAGCUGG
rnacentral:rRNA from 1 species